AUUUGUCGGAAAAAUGCAGUUGCAAUGUUUUUAUUUGUCAAAAUUACCUGGUUCUGGUUAAUGUGCCAAUAAAUUACCUUUCACCUUUAUUAAAAUUACGCUUCGAAGUAACAAAGUCAUCAUUAGUAACCCCUUAGAUCAAAAAAGUCUACUAGAAAUUGUUGUAAGCUCAUAUAAAGUGUUUUCCCCCUUCAAAUGAUGUGUUAAAUUAAACAAAGUUAACUGUGAAUGGUGAAUUGUGCUUUUGAUUAAAACUAAGUGUUCAAUUUUCCCAUACUAAGAGUGCAAUUUGUUAGCAAUUGUUGCAAUUUUCUCUUCAACAAGAGGAGACUUUAUUUGUUUUAACUCUUAAAAGGGCAAUUGUGGUUGUCUAUUUCCUACGCUAUUAGUUUUUCGUUGUUUUUUACAUUGUUUACUUUUUCAGCUAUGAUGUAAAGUAUUAAUGUAGAGAGAUAAAACAAGUUUUGUUAAUUAAUUGGCGACUGAAAAUCACUUCUGAAUUCCAAAUUAGACUUGAAGAAUAUUUUCUAAAUUGUUUUUUUCUAUAGUUUUUUCAUUAAUUUUGGAUGGGGUCAGAAGGUUCGAUUGAUGAUAUUGAUAGUUUAGUAUCAGUAGAGAUUAUUCUUGCUGAUCAAUAUGAAACUAAAGAUAUAUAUGAAGUCAACGUUUUGGUGGCGACUCUGAAAGAUAAGAAAGCUAUAUCACCUGCCAUUAGAAGUUUGGCGAAGUUAUUUCCUAUUUCCAAAGAUUUGAUCCACUUGAAGAGAGUUAAAAUUGACAAAGAAGCCGAUAAAAUUGAAAUAAUCAUUUGUAAAGUGGAUGGAGUUGAUAUAGACCAAAUCAAAGUGAAAUUAUCUGAUGUAUUAGAGUACUCCAGUGUGAAAAUUGCCGCUGUUCCAAGUAAUGCACCUCUAAAUCGUUGGCAGUUCGAGAAAUCAUCACGCCUUUGGCCAACAAAUUUUUUUGAAAAUAAAGAGAUAACUCAUAGACUCGAUGGAACUUGUCUUGACUCAACUGAUCGACUUUUCAUUUAUCAAAUAAUGAAAGAUUUAGUAAAUAGGACAAAGGAAAAUGUUGACCGAACUUAUGGUGCAAUCGUAACAUCAAAUUUUCAAGUUUUGGUUAUUUCUGGUGAUAAAAUUAAUGAUCAUCCCUUACGACAUUGUUCAAUGAAUUUGAUUGAUUUAAUGGCUUCAACUCAAGGUGGUGGAGUUUGGUAUAAUCAAGGAAAACUUGAUGAAAAUUCAUCACUGUUAAGUACAGAGUAUGAUCCUGAUUCUUAUUUAUGUACUGGACAUGACGUUUAUUUAACCAAAGAACCUUGUAUAAUGUGUUCCAUGGGCCUUCUCCAUUCAAGAAUCAGAAGAAUUUUCUUUUUGGAUCAAUCUAUAAAUACAUUGGAUAUGCCAUUACAAAAAGGAUGUCCGGACGAUUUUGCUUUAUCCAAAAUGAAGCUACACACAAAUUCUGACAUAAACCAUCGAUUUGAAGUUUGGCGAGUAAAAUUAAAAAAAUGUUGAGAAUAGACAUUUCCAAUCUCUUUGUUUAAAUCCAAGUGGAGAAUGUAAUUGGGUUUUAAUAUUACGAUCAGAUCUUCGGUCAGAAGCGGAACGUACAUCUAUUUAAAAUUAUUCAUGAUUAAUAUCUACUGUAGAAGUACUGAGGCCAUACAAAUUGAUUUACCUGAUUCUUGGUUACCCCUUCUUCGCCUACCACGACGAUUGGCU